rnacentral:rRNA from 1 species
UGCGAGUCAUUGUAGUAAUACAAGGCAGACGGCUCAGUAACGCGUAGUCAAUCUAACCUAUGGACGGGAAUAACCUCGGGAAACUGAGUAUAAUGCCCGAUAGAACAUUAUGCCUGGAAUGGUUUAUGUUCCAAAUGAUUUAUCGCCGUAGGAUGGGACUGCGGCCUAUCAGUUUGUUGGUGAGGUAAUGGCCCACCAAGACUAUUACAGGUACGGGCUCUGAGAGGAGUAGCCCGGAGAUGGGUACUGAGACACGGACCCAGGCCCUAUGGGGCGCAGCAGGCGAGAAAACUUUGCAAUGUGCGAAAGCACGACAAGGUUAAUCCGAGUGGUUUCUGCUAAAGGAACCUUUUGUCGGUCCUAGAAACACCGAUGAAUAAGGGGUGGGCAAGUUCUGGUGUCAGCCGCCGCGGUAAAACCAGCACCUCAAGUGGUCAGGAUGAUUAUUGGGCCUAAAGCAUCCGUAGCCGGCUCUGUAAGUUUUCGGUUAAAUCUGUACGCUUAACGUACAGGCUGCCGGGAAUACUGCAGAGCUAGGGAGUGGGAGAGGUAGACGGUACUCGGUAGGAAGGGGUAAAAUCCUUUGAUCUAUUGAUGACCACCUGUGGCGAAGGCGGUCUACCAGAACACGUCCGACGGUGAGGGAUGAAAGCUGGGGGAGCAAACCGGAUUAGAUACCCGGGUAGUCCCAGCUGUAAACUAUGCAAACUCAGUGAUGCAUUGGCUUGUGGCCAAUGCAGUGCUGCAGGGAAGCCGUUAAGUUUGCCGCCUGGGAAGUACGUACGCAAGUAUGAAACUCAAAGGAAUUGACGG